CCCCGGAUGGUGGAACGCAGACACGAGGAGCUUAAACCUCCUUGGCCGUAAGGCCGUGCGGGUUCGAGUCCCGCUCCGGGGACCA
rnacentral:tRNA from 1 species